rnacentral:rRNA from 1 species
AGAGUUUGAUCCUGGCUCAGGAUGAACGCUGGCGGCGUGCCUAAUACAUGCAAGUCGAACGAGCUCUUCGGAGCUAGUGGCGGACGGGUGAGUAACACGUUGGUACCUACCCCGAAGUGGGGAAUAACUGGCCGAAAGGUCGGCUAAUACCGCAUAAUACCGCAAGGUUAAAGGAGUAAUCCGCUUCGGGAGGGGCCUGCGUCCCAUUAGCUUGUUGGUAGUGUAAUGGACUACCAAGGCGACGAUGGGUAGCUGGAUCGAGAGGUUGACCAGCCACACUGGGACUGAGAUACGGCCCAGACUCCUACGGGAGGCAGCAGUAAGGAAUCUUCCACAAUGGACGAAAGUCUGAUGGAGCAACGCCGCGUGCAGGAUGACGGUCUUCGGAUUGUAAACUGCUUUUAUAAGGGAAGAUUAUGACGGUACCUUAUGAAUAAGCACCGGCUAACUACGUGCCAGCCGCCGCGGUAAUAC